rnacentral:rRNA from 1 species
AUUGAACGCUGGCGGCAUGCUUUACACAUGCAAGUCGAACGGUAACAGGCCUUCGGGUGCUGACGAGUGGCGAACGGGUGCGUAAUGCAUCGGAACGUACCCAGAGGUGGGGGAUAACGCAGCGAAAGCUGUGCUAAUACCUCAUGUGAUCUGGGGAUGAAAGCGGGGGACCGAGCAGCAAUGUUUGGCCUCGCGCCUUUGGAGCGGCCGAUGUCGGAUUAGCUAGUUGGUGGGGUAAAGGCCUACCAAGGCGACGAUCCGUAGCUGGUCUGAGAGGACGACCAGCCACACUGGGACUGAGACACGGCCCAGACUCCUACGGGAGGCAGCAGUGGGGAAUUUUGGACAAUGGGCGCAAGCCUGAUCCAGCAAUGCCGCGUGCGGGAAGAAGGCCUUCGGGUUGUAAACCGCUUUUGGCAGGAACGAAACGGUGUCCGCUAAUACCGGGCGCUAAUGACGGUACCUGCAGAAUAAGCACCGGCUAACUACGUG